GUGUGUCAGUGUAUGUAUGUGUGUGUCUGUAUGUAUCAGUGUAUGUAUGUGUGUGUGUGUGUAUAUGUGUUCAUACAUAUCAAGUCCAGAGUGUCCUUCAGGCAUUGUCUGCUCUCCUGCUCUUUCUUGUUAGACUAGAGCACGUAAAGAAGAGUAGGCCAGUUGACUUGGACGCUCCACCUCAUCAUGCUGGGAUUACAAGUUCAUACCACCAUGUCAGUGUUGGUCCUGGGGAUUAGAUUCCCACCCUUGUGCUUCUAAGGCAAGUACUUUACUGACAGUUGUCUUCCAGGCCCUAGUAACUUGUUUCUACAAAAUAUGGCAAAAGGAAUAGAUGACUCUAAGGUGAAGUUACAUACAGCUUCAAUACCCAUCCCUCAGAUAUUCUCCCUACCCCGACCCCUCACUAAGAUGGAGUCAGCUGCUGUGGGUAAGUUGUUCCUAUAGAGUCCAGGUAUCACAAGGCCAAACAUGGCCUCCAGCGCACAGCCUUCAAAGGACUGAAGUUGUCAACAGCCAUGUGGAUGAGUUUGGAAGAAUCGAUGGCAGGAUGGAGCUUGAGUCACCUGUGGUUGACAUUGUGUUCACCUGCCCCACCCCCACCAUGGCCCGAAGCUUCUCACUGAAGGUGUCCUUUCCCCUUCCACACCUGAACUCAUCCCAGAUCCAGACUCCAAGAGAAGUUCAGCAAAAGCAAGCAGACGAGCAAAGGACUCCCUGGGUAGCAAAAGGAUGCUUCAAGGCAGGCUUCCCGACCUACCGUAAUUUGAGUCAUGCUAACUCACCUUUCUGCCAACAUCACUGGAGUUCUAGACUGUUUGUUUUUACGCUCCUCUAACACUUCCUGCUUCAGGUCACUUCCCCCUUAGCCAAUGACCCUCUCUGGGCUUGACCACAAUCAGACAUCUGUUAAUUACCCAGGAAGCAGGGUGAAGAGGGC